AUGGUGCUGCCCCUUGCUCCCAUGGCCGGCCAUGGCCAUGAAAACCAGCCAAGAUGAAGCUCCCCUUCUUCCUCAAGCUCAUCCUCACCAUGAGAGCAUCUCUCUCACUCUCUUCUCCCCCAACCCUAGCUGGUUUCCUCUCCUUUUCUUCUUCCUCCAUUGCUAAGAUUGGAUCUUGAUGCAGGUGCAUGUUGGUCCAAGCAUGGAGGAGGUUGAGCAAUCCUCAGAUCUGAAGUUCUUGAGCAAAAUCCAAAUCGAGUGACUCAAAGUUCCACAGAUAGGUAUUGAAAAGAUCUACAACUUGGCAUUGGUCUCAUCCUCAAAUUAGUUACGGAUUUUGCAUGAUCAAGAUCUGGUCAGAUCUGACUUUGUCGAAUUAAACCAGGAGCUUGGAAACGAAUUUUUGAAUGAAACCAACUGGGGGAUGUUUGGUUCAUACCAUGGUGAUAACCGAGAGAGGCAAUUGCUAAGUUGUGAUGCACUCAUACCUUUACUAGGU